AACGUAGGGGGCCAGCGUUGCUCGGAAUUACUGGGCGUAAAGGGUCCGUAGGCGGUGUAGCAAGUCGGAAGUGAAAUCUCUGGGCUUAACUCAGAGGCUGCUUCCGAAACUGCUGUGCUAGAGUGCGAGAGAGGCGAGUGGAAUUGCGGGUGUAGCGGUGAAAUGCGUAGAUAUCCGCAGGAACAUCCGAGGCGAAAGCGGCUCGCUGGAUCGCAACUGACGCUGAGGGACGAAAGCUAGGGGAGCAAACAGG
rnacentral:rRNA from 1 species